AGUGAACGCUGGCGGUAGGCCUAACACAUGCAAGUCGAACGGCAGCACCGUAAGAGCUUGCUCUUACGGGCGGCGAGUGGCGGACGGGUGAGUAAUACAUCUGCAUCUACUUUUUCGUUGGGGAUAACGUAGGGAAACUUACGCUAAUACCGCAUACGCCCUACGGGUGAAAGCAGGGGAUCUUCGGACCUUGUGCUCUUGCAUGAGCCGAUGUCGGUUUAGCUAGUUUGCGGGGUAAAGGCCCACCAAGGCGACGAUCCGUAGCUGGUCUGAGUGGAGGAUAAGCCACACUGGAACGGAGACAAGGUCCAGACUACUACGGGAGGCAGCAGUGGGGAAUAUAGGACAAGGGGAGCAAGCAUGAUCCAGCCAUACCGCGUGGGUGAAGAAGGCAUUCGGGUUGUAAAGCCCUUUUGUCGGGAAAGAAAAGCAGAAGGUUAAUAGCCCGCUGUUCUGAAGGUACCCAAAGAAUAAGCACCGGCUAACUUCGUG
rnacentral:rRNA from 1 species